UUUGAAAUCUGGCGUCUUUGGCGUCCGAGUUGUAAUUUGAAGAAGGUAUCUUUGGGCCCGGCUCUUGUCUAUGUUCCUUGGAACAGGACGUCACAGAGGGUGAGAAUCCCGUGCGAUGAGAUGACCCGGGUCUGUGUAAAGUUCCUUUGACGAGUCGAGUUGUUUGGGAAUGCAGCUCUAAGUGGGUGGUAAAUUCCAUCUAAAGCUAAAUAUUGGCGAGAGACCGAUAGCGAACAAGUACAGUGAUGGAAAGAUGAAAAGAACUUUGAAAAGAGAGUGAAAAAGUACGUGAAAUUGUUGAAAGGGAAGGGCUUGAGAUCAGACUUGGUAUUUUGCAUGCUGCUCUCUCGGGGGCGGCCGCUGCGGUUUACCGGGCCAGCAUCGGUUUGGAGCGGCAGGAUAAUGGCGGAGGAAUGUGGCACGGCUUCUGCUGUGUGUUAUAGCCUCUGACGAUACUGCCAGCCUAGACCGAGGACUGCGGUUUUUACCUAGGAUGUUGGCAUAAUGAUCUUAAGUCGCCCGUCUUGAAACACGGACCAAGGAGUCUAACGUCUAUGCGAGUGUUUGGGUGUAAAACCCGUACGCGUAAUGAAAGUGAACGAAGGUGGGGGCCCAUUAGGGUGCACCAUCGACCGAUCCUGAUGUGUUCGGAUGGAUUUGAGUAAGAGCAUAGCUGUUGGGACCCGAAAGAUGGUGAACUAUGCCUGAAUAGGGUGAAGCCAGAGGAAACUCUGGUGGAGGCUCGUAGCGGUUCUGACGU
rnacentral:rRNA from 1 species